rnacentral:rRNA from 1 species
UACAGGGGGGGCAAGCGUUGUUCGGAAUUACUGGGCGUAAAGGGUCUGUAGGUGGCCAAGUAAGUCAGACGUGAAAUCCCUCAGCUUAACUGGGGAACUGCGUCUGAUACUGGAUGGCUUGAGUGUGGGAGAGGAAUGCGGAAUUCCAGGUGUAGCGGUGAAAUGCGUAGAUAUCUGGAGGAACACCGGUGGCGAAGGCGGCAUUCUGGACCAUAACUGACACUGAGAGACGAAAGCCAGGGGAGCAAACGGG